ensembl:lncRNA
GGUGAGGGACUUGGAACACAAACCCUGUGAGGAAUGACUGGGGGAGCUGGAGUUGUUGAGCCUGGAGAAAAGGAGACUCAGAGGUGACCUGAUUACUCUGAAACUUCCUGAAAGGUGUCUGUAGUCAGGUGAGGGUUGGUCUCUUCUCCCAGACAACAACUGACAGAACAAGAGGACACAGUCUUAAGCUGUGCCAAGGGAAAUUUAGGUUGGAUGUUAGGAAAAAGAUUUUUACAGACAGAAUGAUAAAAUACUCCACUGCCCAGGGAGUUGGUGGAUUCACCAUCCCUGGUUAUGUUUAAAAAAAGACUGGAUGUGGCACUCAGUGCCAUGGUUUAGUUGAGGUGUUAGAGCUGGGUUGGUCUUGAUGGUCUCGAAGGUCUCUUCCAACCUUGUGAUUCUGUGAUUCCCAACCAGUUCAUCUUAAUUUGUGAAAAUCAGAUCCUGCAGAGCAUCUCUCUUCACCUCCUCAGUCACCUGUAUCAGAAAUUUUAGUAUUAUUAUUGUUGUUGUUAUUAUCAUUAUUAUUAUUAAUUUUGCAAUAUUUUUUGCAUUAUUGUCCUUCAAUGCACUCUAGAGACCUCUUGGAUUGCUUUUUUCUAGCUGUAUCCAGCACUCCAGCUGUGUGUGAUUUGCCUCUUAAUCAAAGAUUUCAAAAAUCAGGUUCCAUCUGCUAAAAAAUUCAAAGAUCCUGGAUUUGAGAGGCUAUUUAUGAACAUCAAACUGUGGUCCAUUUCUCCCUGGAGUAUCAUGCAGAUGUGCAGCUGCACAGCUGCAGCUCUUCAACACCAGGAGAAGUAUGAGCUAUCCACAGACACCAGUAAAAAGCCAGGCCCAUGCAGGCCACACAAGCCCUGCCUAAACUUGGGAGAAAUUUGAAAUAACAGGUUCCUUUCACUGAGAUUGUGACAACAAGGCUUCUGGUAAUGAGUGAGAAAACAUCUGCAAUACUCUUCCAUCCUGCUGUUCACAAAGGAGGGACUUUGUGUGCUGUAUGCUUAUAUUCAGUAAGGCAAUUGGUAAACUUUUGUAUUCCAAACAAAAUGAGUUUGUUACCUGAAUGAAAACUGACCUCAAGUUCUUUGCUAGAAUUUGAAUAACCAGAAAGAGAAAAAUAUAUUUUCAGACAUUUGAAAAAAUACCUUUAAUUGAGGAGCAUGCUUUGUUUUUUAUACUUGUUCAUACAAGUUUUGCUAAGAAAUCUCAUCAGACUGAGCAGUUAGUCAUUUAUAAAGCUGUAGCUACAAAGCACUGUUUCAAGAGUAAGACCUAAUAUAAUUUAAUAGCUCUGGGUUGUUUGGGUUUUGGGUUUUUUUUUCAAAUUUCCUUAUGGAAUUGUGUGAUGUUUUCAAUACACAGAAAGGCAAACCAAAGAAAUCAAAAUGACAUUUGGGGGUACAGAGCUCAUACCUUUACCAAAUUUCGUCUUGGUUACUACCUACAGCUUUGGUGCUAGGAUUACACAUCUUACAGCAUAUUAUUAUGGGAAGAAACUUUUCCUACUAGUCAUGACUUAAAAAAAAUGCUGAAGUCUUCUGUGAAAUUUGUGAAAAAAAAAAACCCUAUGAAUCAGAAAAUACAACUGGGGCAAAUAGAAAAUAGAAGUCUCUAGAAAUUAUUAAUACAUGGAAAUAUUCCCAGCAAAGGAAAUAUGUAAGCAUUGUUAGUCAGACUUGCAACUGCUCUACUGGCAUAUGAAUGCUUGCAAUAUAUUUUACUUGAGAAUAAAGUCAUAAUUAUCUAUAAUUCA